GUUUUUUUUAAUUUCUAAAUAGAUCAUAUCUUUUUAAUAAUACCAUACAAGUUAUUAAAAAUUUUUAAAAAUUCAAAAUUUUUAUAUUUGUUUUAAAGUCCUGCAAUAUAAAUUGUCAAUUUGUCGCUCAAUGUAAAUAAAAAAAUAAUAAAAAUCGAGAAAUGUUGGCAUUGUUGUAACAAGUUAGCAUAUUAACUUAAAACAGAACAGGAGUGUUGGCAUUGAUGUAACAAGUUAGCAUAUUAACUUAAAACAUAACAGGAAUGUUGGCAUCGAUGUAAAAAACUAGUAUACGAACUUAAAACAGAAAAUGAAUGUUGGCAUCAAUGUAACAAGAUAGCAUAAAAUAACAAAUUAAUCUGAUGACGUACUUAUGCGAUAUUAAUGACCAAAAUUGAUUUUUGUUACUUUUACAAAAUUAAUAAUUGUUAAUUUGUUAAAAAAAUUUGUAAAAAUUA